rnacentral:lncRNA from 1 species
CAACAACGACAACGAAAACAUCCAAUCACUGGCACCGCGCGUGGUGGCCCUCCAUGACGGCAGCAGCCAGGCGGUUGCGCCCGUCGGCUUCGGCGGCGUCAAAGUGCGCGCGCGUGUAGGCGUAUGCCGUGGUGGCCGCCGGCGUAUCCCCGCCGUACCGGUUCGAUGCCCACCACUGGCGCGCGCGAUCGGCCGCCGAGCCUCCGGCGGACGCCGGCCGUGCCGUUUUCACGUCUCCGACGGCCGCCACCGUCGACGUGGCAAAGUCCCAGGCCUGCGUGAUGGGUCGUCGUGUCGGAUUCGAAGCCAUCGACCCAAGUGCGCGCGCCCCGCUCUUUCUUGACGCCAAAGGCGAAAGAAAAAAACGGUGACGCUGUACUCUUGGACGCCUCUCUCUCUCUGUGUGUGUGUGUGGGCUUUGCUCUUGUCGGCGCCCCAAGGCAGAGACACGCACGCGUCCAACCAAAGGGAGGCGGAAAAAAGGUGGGCGUAUGUGGGCGCGGCCGUAUCGGAUCCCUCGGACGUCGCCUGUCGCCGGCGGUUUGUCCAGGUGGGAGGCGGAAAAAAGGUGCCCAUUUGGAAGGCGCGUCGCGGGGCGACGGCGUGCGCUCGUGCACUGCCGCGCCCGCGCACGGCCGACAACCGCAGACAAAAUAAAGAACAGUUUCCACUUUUUUU